rnacentral:rRNA from 1 species
GACGAACGCUGGCGGCGUGCUUAACACAUGCAAGUCGAACGGAAAGGCCCUGCUUUGGUGGGGUGCUCGAGGGGCGAACGGGUGAGUAACACGUGAGUAACCUGCCCUUGACUUUGGGAUAACUUCAGGAAACUGGGGCUAAUACCGGAUAGGAGCUCCUGCUGCAUGGUGGGGGUUGGAAAGUUUCGGCGGUUGGGGAUGGACUCGCGGCUUAUCAGCUUGUUGGUGGGGUAGUGGCUUACCAAGGCUUUGACGGGUAGCCGGCCUGAGCGGGUGACCGGCCACAUUGGGACUGAGAUACGGCCCAGACUACUACGGGAGGCAGCAGUGGGGAAUAUUGCACAAUGGGCGGAAGCCUGAUGCAGCAACGCCGCGUGCGGGAUGACGGCCUUCGGGUUGUAAACCGCUUUCGCCUGUGACGAAGCGUGAGUGACGGUAAUGGGUAAAGAAGCACCGGCUAACUACGUG